CAUACGCAGCUACACAUGCAAGUCGAGCGGAAACGAUGGAGCUUGCUCCAGGCGUCGAGCGGCGGACGGGUGAGUAAUGCAUAGGAAUCUGCCCGAUAGUGGGGGAUAACCUGGGGAAACCCAGGCUAAUACCGCAUACGUCCUACGGGAGAAAGCAGGGGAUCUUCGGACCUUGCGCUAUCGGAUGAGCCUAUGUCGGAUUAGCUUGUUGGUGAGGUAAUGGCUCACCAAGGCGACGAUCCGUAGCUGGUCUGAGAGGAUGAUCAGCCACAUCGGGACUGAGACACGGCCCGAACUCCUACGGGAGGCAGCAGUGGGGAAUAUUGGACAAUGGGCGAAAGCCUGAUCCAGCCAUGCCGCGUGUGUGAAGAAGGCUUUCGGGUUGUAAAGCACUUUCAGUGAGGAAGAAGGCCUUGGGGCUAAUACCCCCGAGGAAGGACAUCACUCACAGAAGAAGCACCGGCUAACUCCGUGCCAGCAGCCGCGGUAAUACGGAGGGUGCGAGCGUUAAUCGGAAUUACUGGGCGUAAAGCGCGCGUAGGCGGCGUGAUAAGCCGGUUGUGAAAGCCCCGGGCUCAACCUGGGAACGGCAUCCGGAACUGUCAGGCUAGA
rnacentral:rRNA from 1 species